rnacentral:rRNA from 1 species
AACGAACGCUGGCGGCAGGCCUAACACAUGCAAGUCGAGCGCCCCGCAAGGGGAGCGGCGGACGGGUGAGUAACGCGUGGGAACGUACCCUUUGCUACGGAAUAGCCUCGGGAAACUGGGAGUAAUACCGUAUGUGUCCUUCGGGAGAAAGAUUUAUCGGCAAGGGAUCGGCCCGCGUUGGAUUAGGUAGUUGGUGGGGUAAUGGCCUACCAAGCCGACGAUCCAUAGCUGGUUUGAGAGGAUGAUCAGCCACACUGGGACUGAGACACGGCCCAGACUCCUACGGGAGGCAGCAGUGGGGAAUCUUAGACAAUGGGCGCAAGCCUGGUCUAGCCAUGCCGCGUGAGCGAUGAAGGCCUUAGGGUUGUAAAGCUCUUUCAGGGGGGAAGAUAAUGACUGUACCCCCAGAAGAAGCCCCGGCUAACUCCGUG